rnacentral:misc_RNA from 1 species
GUCAUCGGAUCUGCAUUCUCCAUUGGUAGCGGACAUAGUCUUGACGGAGUCACUUGUCUGCUGCAAUAAGACUCGUCUAUUAUUCUCCUCCUCUCGCUUCACUACCAAAUAAACUAUAUAGUAGAAAGCGAAAAGCCCCGCGAUGGAGGCCAAGAUCCAUCCUAGCAAGUAAUGAUCCGCCAUUUUCAUUUGGAAUCCGAUUACAGAAGCAGAAACGACAAGGGAGAGACGUUUUAAUCUCUCUCUCUCUUUCUGUGUUUGUCUGGCUGGAGAAGCUCUGGAUUUCUCUAUCUGGUGGGGUGGUUUUGUUUUUGUUGGCUAGAGUACGAAAGCUUCGCUGG